rnacentral:rRNA from 1 species
UGGGGAAUAUUGGACAAUGGGCGCAAGCCUGAUCCAGCCAUGCCGCGUGAGUGAUGAAGGCCCUAGGGUUGUAAAGCUCUUUCACCGGUGAAGAUAAUGACGGUAACCGGAGAAGAAGCCCCGGCUAACUUCGUGCCAGCAGCCGCGGUAAUACGAAGGGGGCUAGCGUUGUUCGGAUUUACUGGGCGUAAAGCGCACGUAGGCGGACUUUUAAGUCAGGGGUGAAAUCCCGGGGCUCAACCCCGGAACUGCCUUUGAUACUGGAAGUCUUGAGUAUGGUAGAGGUGAGGGGAAUUCCGGGUGUAGAGGUGAAAUUCGUAGAUAUUCGGAGGAACACCAGUGGCGAAGGCGGCUCACUGGACCAUUACUGACGCUGAGGUGCGAAAGCGUGGGGAGCAAACAGG